rnacentral:misc_RNA from 1 species
GCCACAAAUGACCUUUUGCAGGUACAUGUACUUUUUUCUUCCUUAAAAAAAUAGGUAUUAUUUUUUGGGGCAAGGUCAUGCUGAUUGUAGAAUUUCUAGCAAAACACGUCAGAUUGCAAUUUAGAUACAUAAAAUCCGCAUUUGUAUGAAAUUGGGCAAUUAUAAGCUAUUAUUUCUUUAUAAAAAUGCAUUAAAGUUUUUUUUUUUUUUUUU